rnacentral:rRNA from 1 species
GAUGAACGCUGGCGGCGUGCCUAAUACAUGCAAGUCGAGCGAACGGACGAGAAGCUUGCUUCUCUGAUGUUAGCGGCGGACGGGUGAGUAACACGUGGAUAACCUACCUAUAAGACUGGGAGAACUUCGGGAAACCGGAGCUAAUACCGGAAGAUAUGUUGAACCGCAUGGUUCAAAAGUGAAAGACGGUCUUGCUGUCACUUAUAGAUGGAUCCGCGCUGCAUUAGCUAGUUGGUAAGGUAAUGGCUUACCAAGGCAACGAUGCAUAGCCGACCUGAGAGGGUGAUCGGCCACACUGGAACUGAGACACGGUCCAGACUCCUACGGAAGGCAGCAGUAGGGAAUCUUCCGCAAUGGGCGAAAGCCUGACGGAGCAACGCCGCGUGAGUGAUGAAGGUCUUCGGAUCGUAAAACUCUGUUAUUAGGGAAGAACAUAUGUGUAAGUAACUGUGCACAUCUUGACGGUACCUAAUCAGAAAGCCACGGCUAACUACGUG